GAUGAACGCUGGCGGCGUGCUUAACACAUGCAAGUCGAACGGAAAGGCCCAAGCUUGCUUGGGUACUCGAGUGGCGAACGGGUGAGUAACACGUGGGUGAUCUGCCCUGCACUUCGGGAUAAGCCUGGGAAACUGGGUCUAAUACCGGAUAGGACCACAUUUUGGAUGGUGUGGUGGAAAGUUUUUCGGUGUGGGAUGAGCUCGCGGCCUAUCAGCUUGUUGGUGGGGUAAUGGCCUACCAAGGCGUCGACGGGUAGCCGGCCUGAGAGGGUGUACGGCCACAUUGGGACUGAGAUACGGCCCAGACUCCUACGGGAGGCAGCAGUGGGGAAUAUUGCACAAUGGGCGCAAGCCUGAUGCAGCGACGCAGCGUGGGGGAUGACGGCCUUCGGGUUGUAAACUCCUUUCGCUAGGGACGAAGCGUUUUUGUGACGGUACCUGGAGAAGAAGCACCGGCUAACUACGUG
rnacentral:rRNA from 1 species